rnacentral:rRNA from 1 species
CAGCCGCCGCGGGAAUACGGAGGGUGCAAGCGUUAUCCGGAUUUAUUGGGUUUAAAGGGUCCGUAGGCGGACUUAUAAGUCAGUGGUGAAAGCCUGUCGCUUAACGAUAGAACUGCCAUUGAUACUGUAAGUCUUGAGUAUAUUUGAGGUAGCUGGAAUAAGUAGUGUAGCGGUGAAAUGCAUAGAUAUUACUUAGAACACCAAUUGCGAAGGCAGGUUACCAAGAUAUAACUGACGCUGAGGGACGAAAGCGUGGGUAGCGAACAGGAUUAGAUACCCCGGUAGUCCCUGUCUCUUAUAC